UGAAGAAUCUUCCGCAAUGGACGAAAGUCUGACGGAGCAACACCGCGUGGUGGAUGAAGGCCCUCGGGUCGUAAACACCUUUUCUGGAGGAAUAAGUUCUGAAGGUACUUCAGGAAUAAGGCGCUGCUAACUACGUGCCAGCAGCAGCGGUAAUACGUAGGCGCCAAGCGUUAUCCGGAAUUAUUGGGCGUAAAGCGUUCGCAGGCGGCGAAUCAAGUCAGGUGUGAAAUAUCAAGGCUCAACCUUGAGAACAUGCUUGAUACUGUUUUGCUAGAGUCUGAGAGAGGUUACUGGAAUUCCUAUUGUAGGGGUAAAAUCCGUAGAUAAUAGGAGGAACACCAAAAGCGAAAGCAGGUAACUGGCUCAGUACUGACGCUCAGGGACGAAAGCGUGGGUAGCA
rnacentral:rRNA from 1 species